rnacentral:rRNA from 1 species
UACAGGGGGUGCAAACGUUGCUCGGAAUCAUUGGGCGUAAAGCGCACGUAGGCGGUUCGUUAUGUCGGAUGUGAAAGCCCUUGGCUUAACCGAGGAAGUGCAUCCGAAACUGGCGAGCUAGAGUACGAAAGAGGAUCGCGGAAUUCCCGGUGUAGAGGUGAAAUUCGUAGAUAUCGGGAGGAACACCGGUGGCGAAGGCGGCGAUCUGGGAAGAUACUGGACGCUGAGGUGCGAAAGCGUGGGGAGCAAACAGG